rnacentral:lncRNA from 1 species
UUGUGCUAAAAUUCCAGAGAGCUCCUCCUUAAAUGCGAAAACAUGACCCAGGAGCAUGGAUUCAUUAAUUCGUUGUACUUUCAUGAGGAACACUGCACGGAGGAAUGAAAAUGCCACCUGGGUGCCAGAGAAGAAUUUUUUUCAGGCGCUAUGCAGAAAAACUUUCUGGAAGAUGUUUGAUCAUUUCGUGGAUGUGUUUGUGUUUUUCAACUCUAAGUGAGGAACUGAUCAAGGUGACACGGGAUCAUCUUGGGAGAAUGCACAAGGUAAAAGCACUCUGCAAGGUAUCGUGGGGGCAUCGCUAGAGAUAACAAAGAUCCCAAAUUUGAGGAACUUUUGGACUAGGAGAAAAGCAGGUUGUUUUUAUGUGGAAGAGCCAUGUCCAAGACUGUGUGGAUCCUAACUUUUGAGAAAGACAAGAAAGGAGGGAGGAAGAAUGGAGUAAAAAAGAGAAGGGAGGGAA